CUCUUAGAUGUUCUGGGCCGCACGCGUGCUACACUGAGUGGAUCAGCGGGUCAGGUUGCGCGAAAGCGUUUCCUAAUCUUUAAAUCCGCUCGUGAUGGGGAUUGACGGUUGCAAUUUUCUGUCAUGAACGAGGAAUACCUUGUAAGCGCGGGUCAUCAUCCCGCGCUGAAUACGUCCCUGCCCUUUGUACACACCGCCCGUCGCUCCUACCGAUUGAGUGGUCCGGUGAGGCUUUGGGAUCUGAGCGGAAAGAGCGUUUCGCUGUUUCUGCUCGGAAAACUCAGUCGAACCUUAUCAUUUAGAGGAAGGAGAAGUCGUAACA
rnacentral:rRNA from 1 species